CAUGCAAGUCGAACGAAAAGCCGGAAAGAGCUUGCUCUUUCCGGAAUUGAGUGGCAAACGGGUGAGUAACACGUAAACAACCUGCCUUCAGGAUGGGGACAGCAGACGGAAACGACUGCUAAUACCGAAUAAGUUCCAAGAGCCGCAUGGCCCAUGGAAGAAAAGGUGGCCUCUACCUGUAAGCUAUCGCCUGAAGAGGGGUUUGCGUCUGAUUAGCUGGUUGGAGGGGUAACGGCCCACCAAGGCGACGAUCAGUAGCCGGUCUGAGAGGAUGAACGGCCACACUGGAACUGAGACACGGUCCAGACUCCUACGGGAGGCAGCAGUGGGGAAUCUUCCGCAAUGGGCGAAAGCCUGACGGAGCAACGCCGCGUGAGUGAUGACGGCCUUCGGGUUGUAAAACUCUGUGAUCCGGGACGAAAAGGCAGAGUGCGAAGAACAAACUGCAUUGACGGUACCGGAAAAGCAAGCCACGGCUAACUACGUGCCAGCAGCCGCGGUAAUACGUAGGUGGCAAGCGUUGUCCGGAAUUAUUGGGCGUAAAGCGCGCGCAGGCGGCUUCCCAAGUCCCUCUUAAAAGUGCGGGGCUUAACCCCGUGAUGGGAAGGAAACUGGGAAGCUGGAGUAUCGGAGAGGAAAGUGGAAUUCCUAGUGUAGCGGUGAAAUGCGUAGAGAUUAGGAAGAACACCGGUGGCGAAGGCGACUUUCUGGACGAAAACUGACGCUGAGGCGCGAAAGCGUGGGGAGCAAACAGGAUUAGAUACCCUGGUAGUCCACGCCGUAAACGAUGGAUACUAGGUGUAGGAGGUAUCGACCCCUCCUGUGCCGGAGUUAACGCAAUAAGUAUCCCGCCUGGGAAGUACGAUCGCAAGAUUAAAACUCAA
rnacentral:rRNA from 1 species